CUUUAUUUAAUCCAAUCAAACAUUUAUCAGUUAUCAGUUUAUUUUAUCCAAUCACAUCAUCAGCUGGUUUUAUUAAUUACCAGAUCUCGUUGUUAUCAAUCUGUUUUAUCCACUCUCGGCUUCCACAGCCUGGCUCCUCUCCUCCUCUGGGAUCCCAGACAGAUCCCAGACAGAUCCCAGACAGAUCCCUGCCCUGGAAUCCUUUAUGGGAUCCCUUUUCCCCUGCAGGGCUCCCUCUGCCAGGAUCCCUCUCCAGGAGUCCCAGAGGCUCCCUUUGCCAGGAUCUCUUUUUUUGGGAUCCCUUCCCCAGGAUCCAUUUACUGGGAUCCCUUUCCUAAGGAUCCCUUUUCCGAGGAUCCCUUUCCUGGGAUCCCUUCCCCAGGGAUCCCUUUCCUGAGAUCCCUUCCCCAAGUUCCAUUUCCCGGGAUCCCUUUCCCAAGGGUUCCAUUUCCAGGGAUCCCUUCCCCAAGGAUCCCAUUCCCAGGUUCCCUUUCCCAGGUUUCAUUUCCCAGGAUCCCUUUCCCAAGGAUCCAUUUCCUGGGAUCCCUUUCCUGAGGGUCCCUUUCCUGAGAUCCCUUCUCCAAGUUCCAUUUCCCAGGAUCCCUUUCCCAAGGAUCCAUUUACUGGGNUCUAUUUCCCAGGAUCCCAUUCCCAGGAUCCAUUCCCAAGGAUCCCUUCCCCAAGAUCCCUUCCCCAAGGAUCCCAUUCCUGGGAUCCCUUCCCCAAGGAUCCCAUUCCCGGGAUCCCUUCCCAAGGGAUUCCCAGGUUCCCUUUCCCAGAUCCAUUUCCCAAGAUCCCUUCAAGGAUCCCUUUCCCAGGAUCCCUUUCCCAGGGAUCCCUUUCCCAGGAUCCCUUCCCAAGGGAUCCCAUUCCCAGGAUCCCUUCCCCAGGGAUCCCUUCCCAAGGUUCCAUUCCCCGAGAUCCCUUUCCUGGGAUCCCUUCCCAAGGACCCCAUUCCCGGGAUCCAUUUCCCAGGAUCCCUUCUCCAGGGAUCCCUUCCCAAGGUUCCAUUCCCCGAGAUCCCUUUCCUGGGAUCCCUUCCCAAGGAUCCCAUUCCCAGGAUCCCUUCCCCAAGGACCCCAUUCCCAGGAUCCAUUUCCCAGGAUCCCUUCUCCAGGGAUCCCUUUCCCAUGAUCCCAUUCCCGGGAUCCCAUUCCCAGGAUCCCAUUCCCAUGAUCCCAUUCCCAUGAUCCCUUCCCAAGGAUCCCAUUCCCGGGAUCCCUUCCCCGUCCUCUCCGGGCUCCAUCUCCCCUGUGCCCUCCCUCACUUCCCUCCUUCCCUUGCAGCCUCUGGAGCUGCUGUGUGAGAAAUCCAUCGGGACGGCGAACCGGCCGAUGGGCGCGGGCGAGGCUCUGCGCCGCGUGCUGGAGUGCCUGGCCUCGGGCAUCGUCAUGCCAGGUGAGCAGCUCCGGACACCUGAGCUCCUCCAGACAGGUGAGCAGCUCCGGCCAGGUGAGAUCUGGCCAGGUGAGCAGCUCCGGACACCUGAGCUCCUCCAGACAGGUGAGCUCCAGAGAGCUGAGCUCUGGCCAGGUGAGCUCCUCGGCCAGGUGAGCUCCGGCCAGGUGAGCAGCUCUGGCCAGGUGAGCUCUGGCCAGGUGAGAUCUGGCCAGGUGAGCUCCUCGGCCAGGUGAGCUCCGGCCAGGUGAGCAGCUCUGGCCAGGUGAGCAGCUCCGGCCAGGUGAGCUCUGGCCAGGUGAGAUCUGGCCAGGUGAGCUCCUCGGCCAGGUGAGCUCUGGCCAGGUGAGCAGCUCCGGCCAGGUGAGCUCCUAUGGCCAGGUGAGCUCCUAUGGCCAGGUGAGAUCUGGCUGGGUGAGCUCCGGCCAGGUGAGCUCCGGCCAGUGAGCUCCAGAGAGCUGAGCUCCGGCAGGUGAGCUCCUCUGGCCAGCUGAGCUCCUCUGGCCAGGUGAGCUCCGGCCAGCUGAGCUCCUCUGGCCAGGUGAGCUACUCUGGCCAGGUGAGCUCUGGCCAAGUGAGCUCCAGCCACCUGAGCUCCGGCCAGCUGAGCUUCUCUGGCCAGGUGAGCUCCUCCAGCCAGCUGAGCUCCGGCCAGCUGAGCUUCUCUGGCCAGGUGAGCUCCUCCAGCCAGGUGAGCUCCUCUGGCCAGGUGAGCUCCGGCCACCUGAGCUCCGGCCAGGUGAGCUCCGGCCCGCUGAGCUCCGGCCAGGUGAGCUACUCUGGCCAGGUGAGCUCCUCCAGCCAGGUGAGCUCCGGCCAGCUGAGCUCCAGCCAGGUGAGCUCCUCUGGCCAGGUGAGCUCUGGCCAGGUGAGCUCCGGCCAGCUGAGCUCCGCCCGCAGCAGCGGAG
rnacentral:lncRNA from 1 species